rnacentral:rRNA from 1 species
CCUACGGGUGGCUGCAGUGGGGAAUAUUGGACAAUGGGCGAAAGCCUGAUCCAGCCAUGCCGCGUGUGUGAAGAAGGCCUUCGGGUUGUAAAGCACUUUCAGUGGGGAAGAAAGCCUUGGGGCUAAUACCCUCGAGGAAGGACAUCACCCACAGAAGAAGCACCGGCUAACUCCGUGCCAGCAGCCGCGGUAAUACGGAGGGUGCGAGCGUUAAUCGGAAUUACUGGGCGUAAAGCGCGCAUAGGCGGUCUGAUAAGCCGGUUGUGAAAGCCCCGGGCUCAACCUGGGAACGGCAUCCGGAACUGUCAGGCUAGAGUGCAGGAGAGGAAGGUAGAAUUCCCGGUGUAGCGGUGAAAUGCGUAGAGAUCGGGAGGAAUACCAGUGGCGAAGGCGGCCUUCUGGACUGACACUGACGCUGAGGUGCGAAAGCGUGGGUAGCAAACAGGAUUAGAUACCCCGGUAGUC